rnacentral:rRNA from 1 species
GGAAAGUGGAAAGCGGCGAAAGGGAGAGUAAUGCGUGGACUACCUACCCCCGGGCCCGGGAUAGCUGCGGGAAACUGCAGGUAAUACCGGAUAAUGUCCCCGGACCAAAGGUGUGAUUCCUCCCGGGGAGGGGUUCACGUCCUAUUAGCUUGUUGGUGGGGUAACGGCCUACCAAGGCGACGAUGGGUAGCGGGUGUGAGAGCAUGGCCCGCCUCACUGGGACUGAGACACUGCCCAGACACCUACGGGUGGCUGCAGUCGAGAAUCUUCGGCAAUGGGCGAAAGCCUGACCGAGCGACGCCGCGUGUGGGAUGAAGGCCUUCGGGUUGUAAACCGCUGUCAGAGGGGAUGAAAGGCUAGGGGGUUAUCCCUCUAGUUUGACACAUCCUCAGAGGAAGUACGGGCUAAGUUCGUGCCAGCAGCCGCGGUAAGACGAACCGUACGAACGUUAUUCGGAAUCACUGGGCUUAAAGGGUGCGUAGGCGGCAUGGCAAGUUGGGUGUGAAAUCCCUCGGCUCAACCGAGGAAUGGCGCCCAAAACUGCCUU